rnacentral:rRNA from 1 species
UACCAGCACCCCGAGUGGUCGGGACGAUUAUUGGGCCUAAAGCAUCCGUAGCCGGUCCUACAAGUCUUCCGUUAAAUCCACCUGCUUAACAGAUGGGCUGCGGAAGAUACUAUAGAGCUAGGAGGCGGGAGAGGCAAGCGGUACUCAGUGGGUAGGGGUAAAAUCCUCUGAUCCAUUGAAGACCACCAGUGGCGAAGGCGGCUUGCCAGAACGCGCUCGACGGUGAGGGAUGAAAGCUGGGGGAGCAAACCGG